CUGAUAGAGGUUGCAAAAAGGAUGAUUAGCCACGCGUAACGACGGCAAUUCGGCGCGCGGCGAAAGGCCGAUUUGCCGAAGCAUUCCGUGCGGUUGCCGCCGCGGGUCUGCUGGGGCCGUUGCCGAACAGGUGCGGAACUGUCACGUUUAUGUGGAGAGCUAUC
rnacentral:ncRNA from 1 species